AAUCUUUAAUAUUAGAAAGCCAGCAAUCAACUUUGGUGUCUCAAGGCUUCACCAAAAUUUCUGGACAAAAACACCCCUAAAACAAAAAAAAUCCAAAACUAACAAAAAAUAACACAGCAAACACAACAUGGGUAAUUUUGUCAAAAAGAAAAAAGGGCAGUUAUCAAAUUAAAAAGUUAAAAAAAAUUAAAUUAAAUACAAAGAGCAAUUCACGCAUUCAAACACGGUUAACCUUACUUUGACGUGAUGAAACCGUUUCACACGCAAAGGUGGAUUUGGAACUGAACAGAAAACUGUAAUAAAAAAGUUACAUAAAGCCGAGAAAAAAAAAGUAGAACGUGGCAUUCAAACGUCCACGUUGUGUAGAAAAAACAAACUGGAGAAGAUGGAGUUCAGAACGUGGAAUAUACACAGUUAUCGGAAGAGAGUUUAUCUUUUUAUUCCAAGUUUACAGUUAUCGGAAGACAGUUUACCUUUUUGGUUUCUCUACUGCAAAAUUUGCGAUGGUUUUAUGAGGGAGAACGAGGACGACGCAGUUCAAUCUCCAUCCACAUUUUUACAGGAUGAUUGGUGAAUCCCCAGUGAUCGAUGCGUUUUCAAUAUAUGAGUUGGUGGUUUCGUUCUUUUGGGGAAAAUAGCGGAAGAAGAGGGAACAAAAAUAGUUUUGAGUCAUCCUGUUCUGUUUUAGAUUUGGGCCUCAAGAGCGGAGCAGAAGAGGACUUGAUCAUGUUUUUUUUCUUCAUUUAGAUGGUUGAUCUACUCUCUUAUUUGGCGCUCUGACUUUUUUAUCUGCUUCUAUUUCCUAGGUGUAUUUUUUUAUAGACAAUUGGUGGACGAUGGUUUGACGGGACGACGAUCUAUGCUUUAUUUUAUGGGCUGCCCAUUUUCUUAACAUGUCUCUCACACUUCCCAUUCAGUUUUUCCUAUUUUUCAAUCUUUCUCUCUUCGCCUGUAGAGCCGUCAGGUGUGUCGAAGUGGUUGGAUGUGUUUAAUUGAUGUGAAAGAACUGGCGUGCUCUGAGAGGCUACGUGAAGGGUAUAUUUCUAUUUUCUUUUUCUUCCAUGUUUUAUUUAUUUAUUGGUGAUCAAAUGAUACUUUGUUCUUCUUCCAUUUUGGAAGAAAAAUGUUAUAAUUGCUCUAUUCUGUAAUGGUUUUAAGGCUCUACAGAUGUCCUUAAUUGUUUAUGUCAUGUUUAGUUUAUCGUAAUAAUCUACGAUCAAACCUAUAUAUGUAGUAUGAACGCUAUAUCAUAGAAGGGAUUUUAUUUUCUUACUUUGUAUUCAGAGGAAACAAAGAAAAACCAUGGGAAGACAUCUACAGUCGGUCCAGGAACAAUGAUUAUAGAAUUUGGUUCAACUUCUUCUUAUUUCCUGUAAUCAGUUCAACUUCUUAAUUCCUUAUAUUCAGUUGUUUAAAAUAUUGUUCAACGAAGAGUUGCUUGGCUAUUAAUUAGUGUAAGAUUCAGAGGAAUGUAGUUUAUCAUACUCAAGAGUGCAGGUACACAUAAUUUUAUAUGUAAUUGAUUCUUCUUCGCUAAUAAUCUUCCCCUAUUUCCUUUUGUUCUGUAUAUAAUGGAUCGUCUUAAAUUUACAGGUUCAUGCCUCAUUCAGGCUGCAAAGGAUUUGAUUACUUUCUUUUUAGGAAUAUGAACUGAAACAACUUCAUAGUUCGGGUGUAAUUAUUUGUCUUAUCAAGUAAAUAACUGUAUCUUAUGAUCUGUUUGUUUUUUUCAUGCAUGGGAUUGUAUUUUUGAUU